AAACAGGAAUACAUCAUUUCAUAAGUGGAAAAAAGCGUCAUUGCAGGUUGGGUUUAAAGCUAGCUGUUGUUGUUAUGGUAGCUCCCGUACUUUCUUCCCCUCCUCCGCCGCCUUCACCACCCACGCCUCGGUCAUCAACUCCAAUUCCUCAUCCUCCGAGACGUUCACUGCCUUCACCUCCUUCACCGUCACCAUCACCUUCACCAUCACCAUCACCAUCACCAUCACCUCGGUCAACUCCAAUUCCUCAUCCUCGGAAACGUUCACCAGCUUCACCAUCACCAUCACCAUCACUGUCAAAGUCGCCUUCACCCUCCGAGUCACCAUCACUGGCACCGUCACCUUCAGAUUCAGUAGCUUCAUUGGCACCGUCAUCUUCACCUUCAGACGAGUCACCUUCACCGGCACCGUCCCCAAGUUCAUCUGGUAGUAAAGGUGGUGGUGCUGGCCAUGGAUUCUUGGAAGUUUCAAUCGCUAUGAUGAUGUUCUUAAUUUUCUAGAUUAUGUUUACGUAUUUGCAUUGAUGUCUUUUGAAUUAAGCUUUGUGACUACAUGCAUAAAUAUUAUGCAAUAUUGUGUGUGGGGUCAAAGUCAAGCACAUUUUCAUUUUGCUUUCAUGUUUCCUUAAUUUUCAUUUUCAUGUAGUAGUUUCUUGUGUGGUUGAUUAGAAUGAUUAAUUUCGCCCUUGAACUACAACGGUUGGUCUUACUUUUCCUUAAUUUUCAUUUUCGUGGGGUUUGUGAGUUAUUCAUUUCUGAAUCAAUGUUUAAGUGUUAGUAUUACUAGUUGUUCCUUGAAAUCCAAACACAUAUGAAAGUCUCAGACAAAUUUCUAAAUUAAGACUUUUCAAAGUUAAAAAACAAAAUAAAAAAUUAGAAAAAAUAUUGGGAACUUUUACCGUACACUCAGAAAUUGUAGUGUACCAGUAUUCUUGUUUCACAAAACUUAUAAAUUAAUGAUCAUUUUUAUAAAAUAAAAAUUUAUUUGUCAAUAUUUAUAUUUUAGAAAACGUCAUAUCAUAAGAAAAAAACAUCAUUUCAUUGUUUAUAAGGAUUAUAUUAAAAAUUCUACAUUUUGUCAUAAAAAAUAAUCAAUAUUCAUUGUUAUGAGUAGUAAUAAUUAAAUUUUAUUUCGUCGAAGCUUUUGGUAAAUAAAAUUUAAUUAUUAUAGUUGUCAAUGAUAGAAAAUAAUUAUUUUUCUUCAAAAAAAACAACCAAUUUAUUAUUAAUUUAACAAAUUGGUGUACCGAUACACCCAAAUUUAUUGGGUGUACCAUAGAAUUUGCCAAUAUUUAUAUUUUAUAGAACAACAUUUCAUAAGAAAAAACAUCAUUUAAUUGUUUAUAAGAAUCAUAGUAACUUUUUUUUACAUAUUAUCGUAAAAAAUAAUGAAUGUUCUCAAUUAUGAGUGAUAAAAAUUUAAAAAAAUAAAAAAUUAUUUCGCUGACACUUUUGACGAAUAAGAUUUAGUUAUUAUAAUUAUAAAUAAUAAAAAAUAAUAUUUUUCUUCAAAAAACAACUCAUUUAACUAUGAAUUUAAAGAAUGAGUGUACCGGUACACUCAAAUAUAGUGGAUGUACCGUAGAAUUUGCCAUAUUUAUAACCUACCCCUUCCUUCAAAAAACGAAAAAAAAUAAAACCUACCCCUAUUAUAAUGAUCAUAUUCUUACAAUAUCAAAAACAAGUACAAGUACAUAUGUCCAUAUAUCGUGAUCGAGAUUUCAACUCUGACUCAUCUAUUUGUCAUUCAAGUUUUUAAUGACUUAUCAUUUUGUUUAGUAAGUUUGCAUUGAAACAUGUAUAUUUUGUAUUAAAUAUACAAUUUUUUAACAAAUGAUUGUUGUUCUUCAAUAAAUACUUGCUAUUUUUAUAGUUGUUUUUACAAGUUUAAUAUUACACAUGUUAACAAAUCCUUUAAAAAAAUAGAAAAAUAGAAGUACUUUUGGAAUAAUAACAUUAAAUAUGCAUGAAUUAUAAGUUUAAUAAAUAUUUUCUCUGUCUUAUAAUAAUUGUCUUUUUAACACUUUUUCUUUUUCUUAAAAUAAUUAUCGCUUUAUAAUAUCGAUGCAACAUUUAUUAUUAUUUUUCAUUAUUAUAUUCUUAUUAAUUGAAUUUCAUCAAACUUAACUACUCCACUAACUACAAUUGAUAAUGAUAUUUUAAUAAAUGAUAUUAAUUUUACCAUUGAAAUCAACACAGUUAAUCAUUUUCUUAAUAACCGUAAACAAAUCUUAAACGACUAUUUUUUAAGAGACGAUGCAUUAUAAGCAUUAAUAGGAAAAGAACUAGAAAGUACUAUAUUCCGUAUCGAAAAUGCUCCAACUAGCUAGCUAGCAUGCAUAUUCAACAAAAUUUAAAGGUCAACGACAAGAUGCACGUGUCAAAUGUGAAAGACUCCAAUUAUAGACACUCCAUUUGUAGAGAACCUCAUUGUUUUUCGCCUAUCAUUUCUUGUAACCACUCCCAUUUUCUUUGAUCUUUCUUCUAUCAAUACUUCCACAAACACUAGCAAGAACAACAGAAAUUUAAAAUAUUUGUACUUUCAAAAAGGAAAAUCAAGUGAAGAUGGCAGGAAAUGAAAAUCAAGCAAUGAAAGAAACACCACCUCGACCACAUUCAACAGAUGUACUUCACCAACGCAAAAAAGUACCAUUUUGUCCAAUGAGAAUGGCUAUAGGUGGUUUUGCAGCAAUAUCUGUGUUAGGUUACUUUGUUUUGUACGCUAAUAAGAAGCCUGAAGCAUCAGCCUUGGAUGUUGCCAAGGUUUCCACUGGGAUGGCUCAUCCAGAAAAUACCCAUCCCCGUAAUUAAUAUCACCAAUCAAUCCAUGAAGCAUAUACUAUGGUUUUGUCUAGCUAUCUUAAUUAGAGUGUAUUUAUUUUUUGAUUUGUACGUGUUUAAUUAAUUAAGUUCAUUCUGGGAGUACAUCAUUGUAUAUUUAAUUAUCAUCGACCGUAAUAAUCAUUUUACUCUUAUUGUUGUUUCGAAGAUGAAACUUAUUAGAUGAAAAGGUUCCAUGCAACAUUGCACGUACAUUUAUGAGUAAAAGUGUGUCCCAACAUCUGACAAGUAAUGUGUCUAAUGCAUGUUCAAUGUUUCAUAGGUUACAUGCAUGUCACCGCAUGACAUGUUUAUUAUGUUUUGUAAAAUUCAUUUUACCUAUCACUUUUAGUAUUUUCAAUGUAAGAACUGCUGUUUUUUUUUUUAAUGCAUUCAUUCACGACCAAUCCCAAUGUUUUUUGUGCCUUAUUUGUGAUUUGAAUGAAUAAACUCUAAUACAAUAUUAGAUUUUUAUAUUUGGUCUAAAUCAUUUUUUAAAAUCUUGUCAAUGUGAAAUUCAAGUUUUUCCUAUGAGAAAAAGAUCACGAAUCAUCAUCUAGCUUUCAGCCCCAGCAGUACCAGAUCCUAGUUUAUCUUAUUACAAAACAUUUAUCAUUUAAUUUCCAUAAGUUUUCUUUCUUUCCUUUCUUUAAAAACUACACCCUCCGAUCAUAAAUAUAAGCAAAAAUUUAUAUUUUAGAUUCAUUCAAUAAAUGAUGUAUGUUGUCUACAAUAAAGACCACAUAAAUUUUUGCUUAUAUUUAUGACUGGAGGGUAUACUGCGUAAGUAUAGAGCGAUAAUGUGAUUAAUUAAAUUGAGGGAAGCUUAUUAAAUAGCAACUAACAUCUGUUAUUUCAGAAGAAAACACCAACCAUGCAACAUUCAAGAGCUAACAUACAUAAUUUUCUAAGCGUAUCCUUCGAACAAUAUCACGUUUAGCAAAACCACAACGUGGAAGCUCGGGUUUUUUAGCUUUCACAUUUAUUCAUAGGGACACAUAAUCAGCGGCGAAGCUAGCAAUAAUUUUAUGAGGUGGCCACCCGAAAGUAAUCAAAGUCAUAAAAAAAUGACUACAUCUAAAAUCGAACCUGGGGUAGCCAAAUAUAUAUUAUUAGGGGUAGCUAAACAUAAAAAUAUACCUACAAAUUCAAUAAAAUUUUUUUUUCGGGUAGCCAUAGCUACCCCUCUCUUUAACAAGCAUUCGCCCCUGCACAUAAUGACACUUCCAAUCAAUGCCAAACCAAACAGAUACUUGGUGAAAGUUUUGUUAAAAGUACAACAUUUAUAUUUUGAAUACAAUAAUUAAAGGCUUAAUUGCACUUUUUCCUCCAAUCUUUUGCCAAUUGUGUGAUUUUGCACCCUCUCUUUUUUUUGAGCGAUUUUGCACCCUAUCUUUUGCAAAUUGUGUUUUUGUUCAAAAUCAUCAUCAUUAAAAUAGGGGAAAAGGGGCAAAAGAUAAGGUGCAAAAUCGCUUAAAAAAGAAGAAGAAGGGGAGCAAAAUCGCACAAUUGGCAAAAUGAUGGGGCAAAAGUGCAAUUAAACAUAAGAAGGUCCAUCUAACUAGAAAGGGGGCAAAAUUUGGAGUGCAAAAUCGCUCAAAAAAAAAGAGGGUGCAAAAUCGCACAAUUAGCAAAAAAUAGGGGGAAAAAAAUGCAAUUAAACGAUAAUUAAAUUUUACUAUUUUUUUUGUUUACAAUAACAGGCCAUAAAAAUUAUUUAUUCUCUUUGAUUUACACAUUAGUCAUCUUUAGUUCAAAAUAUACAAAUUGAUUUAAACAAAAAAAAUAGGGAUGUAAUAUUUUUAUCAAUAGGAAUCGAAUUCGGUACUUUGUAGUUUACAAGACUCACACAUUACUUACUUGCACUACACUAGCCAGUAGACUCCAUUGGUAUAUAUAUGGAUGUAAUUUUUGCUAAUUGAUUCCAAUUUGCAAGUCUUGUUUCUUAAAAAUACCUCCCCAAGACUAAGUAUCUUUGUGGUGGCACUCAUAGACAAAAAUCUUUGUGUAGCAAUUAAUCAUAUAUAUAUAUAUAUAUUGGAAUGAUGAGAUUGAUCCCAUUGAGUACACCAAAUUCUAUUAUAAGCCUUUCAUAGAAAAACAAUAAUACAUGUAAAUAUUUUUAAAUUUUCAAUAUUGAUCGAUAUUAUGCACUUUUGUCUACUCUCUUUUUUAUUUUUUAUUUUAUUUUAUGGAAGACAUCUAAGGGGUGUAUUCAAUUGAGAUUUCAAAGGAUUUUAAAAGACUUUUUUGUUUUAAAAAAGUCUUUAGGUAUUCAAUCAAGACUUUUAAGGAAUCUAAAAUAUUCUUGUGAUAUUCAAUUAGGAUUUUCAUAAUUUUUUAAUGAGUCCAAUAAAAUCCAGUGGUAUUCAAUUGAGAUUUUGCACAACUUAAAAAUUGUCUAUUGGUAUUCAAAAUUGUAAGGAUUUUAAUGGAUUGUUAUGAAUGGAUUUUGUGAGACUUUUUAGUGUAAAAUGUACCUACUAACAAUCUCACACCUAACCUUGAGGCUUUUUUUGUCUCCCACACAUAGCUUUGAGAUUUCUUGAGACUUUUUACUCAUUCUCCCACUUCAUUUUUUGUUUCUCUCAGUAUCAUUAUUUCAUGUUUGUUUUCUUUUUCCAGAUUUUAAUUUUUUUUUUAUUCUCGUCAUUUUUAUUUUCUUCACGAAUUGGUUGUUGUUGAUCACAUUAUUUACUUCAUGUUUUCUUUUUCGUGCUCUUACAUGUUUAUUUUAUUAUUAUCAAUAAGUUUUUUUUUCGAGUAAGUUUGAUUUUAUUAAGUAAUUAUUAUUAUAAUAUAUUAUUAUUAGUAGUCAAUUCCAUAAAAAUUGUAUCGAUUUUAUUUUUUAUCAUGUAAACCUUUGAUUUUAUUUUUUUUUGGUCUAGCAAACCUUUGAUUUUUUAUUUAGUCAACUCUUGUAAUUUUGAAUUAUUGCUAAAAUUUGACUGUCAUUUCAAAUCUUAUGAAUUCUCAUAAAAUACUUUCAAAUCUUUAAAAGUCUAUGAGCUAAAAUCCCUCAAAAUCUUAAAAGUCUUUUAAAAUCCUCUAAAAGUUAAUACAUUCCUCCACAAUCUUUUAAAAUCUUCCAGACUUUUUUUGUCAAAAUAGUCUUUUAAAAUCUCAAUCCAAUACACCCCCCUAAAUUGAGGGGAAGAUAUUUUAAUCCAAGGUAAGAAACAUCUGAAGACUCAAAUAUCAUCUAGGAAAGAAUUUACAUUUAUCUUCUUUAAGAGAUAAUAAGAAGGCUCAAAUACGACCCUUCAAGUCUAAGUUUGUCUUUUUAUUAUUUAGAUUAAAUCUGUAUCUAGUAUUUUUUUUUUUUCUUCCUUUUUUGGACGAGCUGCUCUAAUCCUCACUCUGAUCUUAAAUAUAAAAAAAGUAAAUCAAAUAUAUUUUAAUUUUUGCUUAUAUUUAAUAUAGGAGAAUAACAAUUCCUAAAAUUGUUAAGGGUCGAUGAGAAGACAUUGCCUACCCAAUAUAUAUUGAGUAUGAAAACAAUUGAACGAGCUCUAUUUAAGUAGGCCUGGUAAAUAAUUGCACUAGAGUUUUUGUUAUACAGUUUCUCAAUCUUUCGUAUCUAAAUCUGUCAAAAUACCUACGUGAGCACUUUUUUGAAGACGGAUUGAAAAAUUAUGUAUCUAUCUAUCUUUCAAUCUCUUGUGAUCAAUGUGGGCUGUCUAACUUAAAUGUCCGCAGCCUAAUUGCAUUCACUAAUCACAAAUUCCAUACAUGGAAACAUGACCCAAUAUUUUCGGUUAAUCUAAUUUACAAGUGAUAUUUUGAGUUUAUAUUUUCUCUCCUUUUUUUAUGCCGGAUAAAUAACUAAAUUGGUCUUAUACCAAAUUUUUAAAUUGAUCUAUGAAUCUAUUAAUAACUCAAAAUAGUCUUUAUCUUUGUCAAUUGUUUUUUAGAUUGGUCUCCGACUCUAUUAGUUCUUUUGUAUUUUAAAUCAUUAACGUAUCAGAUAAGAUCCAAAAGAUAUUAUAUCAUUAACGACUAAAUAAUAUCCAAAAGACGUUGAACUAAUACUCAAAAUACAAAACAGCUAAUAGAGUCAGGGACCAAUUUAAAAAACGUUUGACUAAGAUAUAGACCAUUUUGAAUUAUUAAUAGAUUCGUGGACCAAUUUAAGAAUUUGGUACAAAAAUACCGACUAAUUUAAGGUUUUACUCGAUAAAUCAUCGCUAUACGUAUGCGCAUUAUAGGAAGAAAAAGUGACAUGAGAGGCACUCACAUUUGGAGAUGCUAUUCACGAAUAGACAAUGAAACUCACAAAGUCAACAAUAUGCACGUUAUCGAAUUAUACUAUUAUACAAUUUUUUAUGUGGAUUUACAUUUAUUUAUAUGAUUAGGUAACAAAAAUCAUGUUAACUUGUACUUUAGGAACACAUGAUAUAUAAAUUUAAAAUAAUAUUAAGGAGUGUAUGAGUCAAUGGUUAAGAAAGUUAAAAGAGAAAAUUUUAAGUAAAAACAAAUACUCCUUCUGUUUUAAAAUGAGUGUCAUUUUAGGUAAAAAAUUAUUUUAAAAUGAAUAUCACUUUACAUUUUUAAUAUAACUUUAAUUUUUAUCUUCCAACUUUAUCCUCUCCAACUUUUCUCUCACACAAUGUUCAAUGCAACUUUAAUUUUGUCAUUUUCUUAUAAAGUAAGAGCAGUUUAGUAAAAACGUUAUAUCCAAUUAUUAUUUCAUUUCAUUUCUUAAUAUGUGUGUCAAAGACUAAAGCGAUACUCAUUUUGAAACAGAUGAAGUAAUUUUUAAGCAUUGAUUACACAACUUUGAAUGUAAACAUUACCCUUUUUAGGUCAUAAUUUAAACAUUUAAUACAAAUAUUACUAUAUUUGACUUCUUAGCCAGUGCUCCGAAAACACCGGUUAGCAUUACCCACAAAUUUAAAAGAAGAAUCAUUAUCUUAAAUUGUAUACAUUCAAUUAAAUUUAACAUACAUAUUCCAAUAAAAUAUUAUUAUAUUAUAAAUACAUUUAACUUGUGUUUUAAAGAUACAAGUUUGCAUUUAAUUUUUUUUGACUUUUUUCAAUUUAUCUAUCUCUAUUCAUGACUCACUCCGUUUUAAAAUAUCUUUUAUAAAAAUAAACGCGUAUAAAAAAUUAAUAAGAUCAAAAUUAAUUUUUCAAUUAUAAAUAUCAUUUAUAAAAAAUGUUAACGAGUGUCUCUAAAAUAUUUUUUUAAACAUCUUCAUUAAUUUUAAAAUUUAAGGUCAUUAUCGAGAGGCACUCCUUAAAAACAAAAGAGACAAGAUAGAAAAAAGUUGACAAAUUGUAACAAAAAAAAAAAGUUUUUUUUUGACAAGUAAAAAAAAAAAGAAGAAAUUUUUUUUAUUUUUUUUUGAAGAAAGAAGAAAAAAAGUUGACAACCUUUAUGGGGUUAAUGCGCAUAUUUUAAUAUUUAUGAGAGUAACUCUUUUUUGUUGAAUAGAUUUUGUUGUCUUCAAUAAUAAAAUUAUUGCUACUUUUUUAUUUUUAGGAAAUAAAAAGAAAAGUAUAUUAGUAUUGAUUUUAAUUAGUUUUUUGAGAUUAGGAUCCCUCUGCGUUGCUUCCUCCUUUUGUUGGGUGCAUAGCAUAGUUUGUGUUGCAGCCUGCAACUUUUCUCUCUCUUUUUCUUCGAAGUCACCGCAACUUCAACUUCAACAGUUUCUCCAUGAGGUCCGUUCCUUUCUUCUCUCUCCAAUUUAAUUGCUUUAAUUUUUAUGGAAUUUCAGAGUCAACCUGUUUCACUCUUCGCCGCCGUCCACCGUCGCUAUUCAUUCUCCUCCCUCCGGUUACACUUUUUUUUUUUUUUUUGUUAUACUGCAAAAACUUGACUUCACUUAUCUGCAUCUCUUCAACUACAACUACAAUAGAUCCUUUUUUUUUUUUUUUUUUUUUUUUUAAAUAAUUAUGAAGGAAUAAGAAAUUUUGAUCUAUUAAUUUAAAUCAUUUUAUGAUUUUUUCUAUAAAAAUUGCUUCAUAAAUUUAUCACUUCAGUUUUCAUAUUGCACCACCAAACCCAGCAUAUUUUCGCUUUUAGCAAUAUUUUUAUUUUUGGUGAUUUUUUGGAUCAUAAGCCUUUAACUGUGUUAGUGAAUAGUAACAGCAAUAUGGUUUAGAUGAUUAAUAUUGGAAAAUAUUUCAUGGACACUUGAGAGAGAAACAAAUAGAGAGUGUGUUGUGAUAUAUCGAUGAUGUGAUGAGAAGAUAAAGAAAUGAGGUGUUGAAUGUGUGUUUGGAAAUUACGGGUGUACAAAUAUCAUUGCUUGAAGAUUACAAUUCUAAGAGUUUCUAGUUUUGGGCCAUGUCAUUCUUGAAAUUUUUCUUUUUCUUGAUUUUAAUUGGAAGUUAUUUCAGCCUCUCUACCAUGAUGCCUUUAGUAAACAUUCGGAACCUGACCAUGAAAAAUGCAAUACUAUAAAUAUUAUUGGUCAUUAUUUUGAAUAUUGUUUUGUUCGUCUGCAGGUUGUGCAUCUGCGACCUACUGUUGAAAGAUGUUUGACCGAAGUGAUUACAAAUCACAGUACAUGGAUGGCCAGCGAGAAAGUUCUUUUAGGUAUCCAGUAUAUUUUCGUUGCAAAGUCUUGGUAGAAAUAUGAAUGAGAAGAGAGUAGUGCAAAUUAAUUUUUAGAUGCUUUACACAAAUCUUGUAUAUGUUACUAUAUGCACAUGAUAUUUGGACAUUUUCUUAUUUAUUCAUAUCUUCUCUGUGCCUUUCUCUGAUCUAGAUGGGUCUUAAUAUUCCUGUUUAUGAACCGGUAGUUACUUCGCUAUUGUUUGAGAGGAAAGUAAUCUCUUUCUGUGUCUUUUUAAUUUUUUUUUUCUAGGUGGGAUUUCUUGGAUUCUAAACUAUCUUCAUCUUCCGAUGUUAGAGUUACAAAAUCUGGAUUCAGUAUUGAUAAAUUAAACCAUGGUAGUCAUGGAAGCAGCACAACCUCUAGGUCUUUUAAAAAAGGAAUGAGAAAGGGAUCUGAAGGACUGAAGUUAAUUGGUCGAUCACUUGGGCUGGGGGUAUCUAAGGCAGUGUUUCCAGAAGAUCUUAAAGUGUCUGAAAAGAAGAUAUUUGAUCCCCAAGACAAAUUUUUACUCUUAUGGAAUAAAUUAUUUGUUAUCUCAUGCAUUUUUUCCGUGUUUGUGGAUCCACUGUUUUUUUAUCUCCCUGUCAUCAAUGAUCAAUUACACUGUCUGGGUAUAGACCGAAAGUUGGCGAUAAUAGUCACCACCUUGAGGACAGUCAUUGAUGCUUUCUAUUUGCUAAACAUGGCUCUCCAAUUUCGUACUGCUUACAUUGCUCCAUCAUCUCGUGUCUUUGGGCGGGGAGAGCUUGUGAUAGAUUCGGCACAGAUAGCCAAGCGAUACUUGCGACGAUAUUUCAUCGUUGAUUUCCUAUCUGUGUUGCCAGUACCACAGGUUCAAAAGACUUCUGUAUCUUGAAUCAAUCUCCUUUUGUAAAUACUGUAUGAUUAUUUUUCUUUGGAUUUUAUGAUCUAUCUGUACCAACAAUGUUCUCUGUUAUCUUUCAAUUUUGAUUUCCAUAACAUAAUAUUUUCGCUGCAAUCCUCUUGCUUCUUUUGUGUUUGAAUCAAGGGUUUAUUUGUGGGAUUCAUUUUGAUACUCGUAGGAAGAUUUUUUUUUGGGGGGGGGGGGUUGGUUGGUAGGAGGGGGUUAAGUAAGAGACGUCACCCGAGAGAAGAAAGAAUAAGUGCAAUAAAAUUGGAGGAGAAUAUAAUAUCAUGCUUCGCAAUGCCACAGACAAAUAGGCAAACACUGUCACCAAUACACCAAUCUUGUUGCAUAUCUGUUUUCUUUGAUUUGAAACUAUUGAACUUGGGGAUUUUCUUAUAAUUUUUUCUAAUAAGGAUUUUGUUUGUGCUUUUAGAAUUGCUUCUUCUCUUAUUUUUUUCGUUUUAAGUCUCCUAUUUUUAGCUCAAUAAAUUUUGUUAGCUGGACUGUGUGCUACAAUAAUUAAGUAUACAUUGAUGCUUUUUGGGUGGAUAGUAUAUUAUGAACCCUUAUUUCGGGAGAGACGAGGAGUGUUCAAUUGUUAAUGCUAUAUAGACUUUUGAGAAUGUACAAAUUAUUUAUAUGCUUUGUAUUCUGUUAAUAUUUUCUACUGCUUAGCCGACAUUCACUAACAUGUUCAAAAAUACUUCUUUCUGACUGCUCAAUUAAUAAAAUCGCAGCAGUUAUCGUAUAUGUCUGACACAUGUCCUUAUUGCUACUGCAAUUUUAAGGAGUGUAAGAAAACUAAACUCUUGCUUAUGUUUUCUAUUUAUAUUCUUGUAAUCAGAUUGUUGUUUGGAGAUUUCUUCAGAGGUCAAAAAGUUCUGAUGUACUAGCAACAAAGCAGGCCUUGCUGUUCAUUAUCUUGCUUCAGUAUAUUCCUAGAUUUCUUCGAAUGGUGCCAUUAACUUCAGAACUUAAGAGAACAGCCGGUGUCUUUGCCGAAACUGCAUGGGCAGGUGCUGUAUAUUAUUUGCUGUUGUACAUGCUUGCCAGUCAUGUAAGUGUUUUUUUUCUUCUGUUUUUCAUUUGUCUUUGCUGCCUUGUUCUAUUUGAGUUGUAUACAAUCUCACCAGUUAAGCUAUUAUUCUUUCUUUCUAGCUCUAUGUUGCGUCAACUCUGCCACUAAUGUAUUUUAGGUCUUUUUCCAUUACUGAUUAUUUGCAGAUAGUUGGUGCUUUUUGGUACUUGUUAGCUAUUGAACGCAAUGACUCGUGCUGGCAGAAUGCUUGCAGCGACAAUGGGUGCAACAAAAACUACUUGUACUGUGAGAACCAGCACACGGAAGGUUAUAGUGCCUGGCAAAACAAAAGCAAAGCUAUUUUUAAGUCAAAGUGCUCUGUAGAUGAUGAUCCUCCACCUUUUGAUUAUGGAAUUUUUAAGCAAGCCUUGUCAUCUGGUAUCAUUUCAUCUAAGAAGUUUAUCACAAAAUAUCUUUACUGUUUAUGGUGGGGGCUCCAGAAUUUAAGGUAAUUAUUUUGUUUCUUGUCGACAAUUUGUCCAGAUAAUAGUGUAUUGGACUUCCCUUUUGCUUUUGGCGCAUAAUUACCCCACUCAUUACUUUGCUCUGUAAAACGAACCCUAAUGUUAACUUCUGAAGUUAGGUUUUUAGACUUAUCCUUGAAUUGAGUUAAGGUCAUUGAUUUUAUGGAGUUUCUAUGUCUAAAAUAAUGGUCUUCUUUUGAGUCUAAAAACUCAAUAUUCAAAGUUAACACUGCAUGUUAAUAUUUUAUAGACCAUAUCAAUGGUAGGGUUAUCUCAGAACUUUUUUUUUUUUUUUUCUUGACAAAAUCUCUGAACUUCUUAUAAAGGUGAUAAGUUAUAGAGCCUGCAUUUUUUGGCUUGUUUCACGUUUUGAUCUAAAUAUCAAUUUAUUUGUUUAUUUUUUUUAUUUAAAUUUAGUAUGUAAGUUUCUUUUUUUAUAGUAACAUAUUCAUAUCCAGAUCCCUCAUGUGACAUCCCCCCUCCCGUGAUUUCAUUGAUUAUUUGUAUGGCACAACCUAUUUUCAUUUACUUCACUGCAGUACCCUUGGUCAGGGGCUUCAAACUAGCACAUAUCCUGGGGAGGUUAUCUUUUCAAUAGCACUUGCCAUAGCAGGUCUCAUCCUCUUCGCGCUUCUGAUUGGCAACAUGCAGGUAUACUUCAAACCAUUGAGCUUGACCUAUCUUAAAAGUAAGAAUGGUUGAAGUUUUGUUUUUUAAGAAAUAUAAUAAAAUAGGAGAGGAUCUCUUCUCCAAGGGUUUCCCCUUCACAAUAGAGAAUACCAUGUUCACAGUUGCUAUAUUUAAAUAUGAUUUCUAUCCAUUAUAUUCUCCUAUUUAUACAUGAUAUCUCUAACCAACGUCCCUAUUUAACUCCUCAUUAUCCUAUGUUGUUACUAACUCCUCAUUAUCCUAUGUUGUUACUAACUCCCCUUAUCCCAUAUCCUAACAAACUUCCCUCUUAUCUCAUCCUAACAAUCUCCUCACUAUCUUAUGUCCUAACGCAUACUCAUACUCUCACCUGAUAUAUAAGUGUCUGUGUUGUUGCUGUUAGGAUCAAUUAAUGUGCUUCAUAGUUGAGAACUAUAUGGUUCUAAGAAGUUGGACCAAAUGUUAUUGACAUGAGCACUCAAUGUUAUUAAGCUUGGUCUGAAUGAUGUUUCUCUUUAAAGUAUGAAAUUGCAGAUUGUUUAUAUAUUAUAAAUGUUACUGAGGUUUCUGUAUUUCCGUUAUUGCAGACAUAUCUUCAGUCCCUUACCCUUAGGCUGGAGGAAAUGAGAGUCAAAAGGCGUGAUUCAGAACAAUGGAUGCAUCAUCGCUUGCUCCCAAAAGAGCUUAGAGAGCGUGUGAGACGGUAUGAUCAAUAUAAGUGGUUGGCAACACGUGGUGUAGACGAAGAUAUUUUAGUUCAGAGUCUACCAAAGGAUCUUCGAAGAGAUAUUAAGCGUCAUCUCUGUUUGGCUUUAGUGAGGAGGGUAUGUUGUCACAAACACUUCAAAUUAGUGAAACACCAAAGCACUCUAUCUCUCUUACGUGUGACUAAAAAGGACUUGACUUUUUUCAGAUAAAGAACCAAAUAUUUUACAGUAGAAAAUGAAAUGUUGUCGAUCAGUUCCACUUUGAUGUUGUUGUGCAGUAAAUCACGUCAAGUUAUCAUUUAGUCCUUCUGCAUGAGUAUAAAAGAUAGUGUUUGAGAUUUGUUGUACUUGAUCUCUCUCUCUUAGAUUAAUUACCUGGUCCAUGAACUAUUUCACCAACUCAUAAGAUUUUCUUUUCAAAUUCUUUUAGGUAUUUAAACAUGCAGUGCCUCUAUGUGACUUUUUGGACUUAUCUCUUAGAUUGAUUUCAUUGAUCCUUAUUUCACUGAUUGAUUUUCAAAUUUUUAAAAUUCGAACUUGAUCCCUCUGGUAGAUUAACUUAAUCAAAUUUCUGUUUAAGCAUCUGAAUUUGUUAAUUCAUUUACUUAUUUUCAUGGAUUUGUAGGUUCCACUAUUUGAGAGUAUGGAUGAGAGAUUGCUUGAUGCCAUAUGUGAGAGACUGAAACCAUGUUUAUUUACAGAGAAUACUUAUAUUGUUCGGGAAGGAGAUCCAGUUGAUGAGAUGCUUUUCAUCAUACGUGGGCGUCUUGAGAGUGUUACCACAGAUGGUGGGAGGAGUGGUUUUUUCAACCGCACAUAUCUAAAGGAGGCCGAAUUCUGUGGGGAGGAGCUUUUAACAUGGGCCCUGGACCCCAGAUCUGGUUCUAAUCUUCCAACCUCUACUCGAACUGUGAAGGCGUUAACAGAGGUUGAGACUUUUGCCUUAACCGCCGAUGAGCUGAAAUUUGUUGCCAGUCAGUUUAGACGUCUUCACAGUAGACAGGUUCAACACACUUUUCGUUUUUACUCUCAACAAUGGAGAACCUGGGCUGCUUGUUUUAUUCAAGCAGCAUGGCGUCGAUAUUGUAAAAAGAAAAUUAUGAAGCUUCGUAUGAAGGAAGAAGAAGCGGAUGAGUCUCACGGCAAUGCCAGUGGCAGUUCCUCCAGCCUUGGUGCCGCCUUAUUAGCCUCAAAGUUUGCCGCGCGCACUCUCCGUGGUGUACACCGCAAUCGACUCGCCAAGACUGCCAGAGAGUUGGUGAAAUUACAGAAACCCCCCGAGCCUGACUUUACAGCAGAUGAUGCAGACUAAAAUUUUCAUGUGUAACUGCUCUUGAAAUUCUUGUUUUUCAUUUACUAUUAUGAUUUAUGACUGAUCUUGUGAAAAAGGUCAAAAGCAAUGUAUCCUUUGUAAAUAAUUGUAUUAUAGUAUACAUUAAGCCUAACUGGCUGUCAUAUUAGGUUUGCCACCAGUAUGUAACUUAUUUACCGUUGUCAAUUGUAAUAUUGAAAUUAUGUGUUGGAAGAAUUAAGGUUGAUUUUAUUUGUGGUCAAUAUUUAAUGAGAUUUGAUGAUACGCUUUGCUGUUUUUCCACUGGAGUCCUUUUUAAAGUUUUUAGCAUAAUUCAGGAUAGUUGUAACUUGGCAGUCAGUGGAUAUUCACAAAGCUUCAAACAUGUUUUGCACUUCAAUGUUAGUUGACAAUACCUGUCCAAGACGAACGUGAUCGUAAGCUAAAUUCAAUUUUUUUUGUACUAGCUCAUAUAUGUUGUAAUAUAUGAAGCUGCAAUGUUCUUGUUCUAUUGCUUCCAUCCUCUUCCUUGUUCGCAGUAGUUUACUCUUACUGGAGUAUAUUGUUUAGCAACAAUAAAACAUAAUGAAUUUGAUUGUCAUUGGCUUUUUUUAACAAAUAUAAACAAAAAUAUACAAUUUUUUUGUUGAAGGGAAAAUUGUACUUGUAUAUAAUUCACGAGUGAUGCUAUAUCUUAUGAAGGAGUAGUAACUUCCAUCUUUGAUGGGAAACAGGGUGUUAAUCGUGCAUUUGGUUUCGUAAUAUUCAGUAUAACCUAUAACAUUUGAUCAUAUUUAAAAGUGGAGGGACUAUAUAAUAGAUAAUCAUUUUUCUAUUUUUUAUGAAAUAGUUAACCAUAUUUAUAAAUGGGUACGAGGAAGCAUGUAAAUUUUAAAUUUAUGAGAGUCACGGAAUUGCUUUGGUAAUUGAAAGGAUAAAUUUUUAUUAUGAUAGUUUUCUUUUUCUUCUUUAUGUUCGAGAGUAUAGGAUGAUGCAAUUAGAAUAAGAAAUUGAAAAUCAAUCGGUGAAUGGUGUGAUUUGUGGUGAUGGCGCCCUGCAACACCCCUCUUCAACCAUCCAGGGUUCAAACAUCCUCUCCUCUUUUUUCCCGGAUCCCUACUUCGUUGCAUGGUGAAUGGUGUGAUUUGUGGUGAGUGUGAAGGUGAAGGUGAAUUGAUUUCAGUGAAAUUUGAGUGGUGAAAACUGAAAUUGUUGUUGAUGGUGAUGACUGAUGAGAUCUGGGGUGCAGAAACGGGUGUGCUAUUUUCGGAAUUUGAAGAGAGAAGUACAAUGGUGUUUUAAAAAAUUCUUACUAAUUUUAAAAUCACGACCCUAUAUGCUUUUUUUCAAUGUGUCGUGCAUCCAUUAGCGUAAAUGGAUGACAUCCUAAAUGGAGCAGAUCUAAACUCCCACAUCACAAUCUUCUAGAAUACUGUCAGUGUGUCUCAGGUAGGAAUGCCCCCUUUGAACUCCAACCAUCAUUUCAACCCUUGAGUUAUUAUAAGAUCAAACCCUUACACUGAGUUGAUACCAUAUGGAACAUCAUACUAUAGUGUUAAAAUUUAAUGUAAUAUAAUUUACUUAAUGGAACUGUUUUAUAUGUUUUGCUAAAAAGCAUACUAAAAUUUAGAUGUACUAAUUAUAACACGGCAUGCAUGAAAAGUUUACACUAAAUACCAUUGAUAUAUAAACUCAUUUCUGUUAAUAAUAAAAUAAGUCACAAAAUUAAUUUGAGAAAGAAACACUCUCAAAUUUAAGUCUGUUUCAAUACAUAAUCCUCAAACAUAGAGGCAGUUUUCAACUCAAAAGUUGUGUUCAUAAUGAUGUGUCUACAUUUUCCAGAAGUAUACUUGAACACUUAAUAUGGCAGCAAACCCAUAUAUAACUAAAGAAAGAACUCGUGAUUGAUACAACUACGGGUAAAAAAAAAAGAAUCACCAAAGAACUCAGAUAUAGCAAAACAUGGAAAUUUAGUUGUCCUCUUGUACCGGUGAUUCUAGCAUCCGUACCGUGCGAGGGAGCAUAAACUCGGAAAAUAUAGGAAAAUGAGAUGAAGGAUAGCAUCCAUCAAUAUUAUCAUUCACCACUUCACAUGAAACAGGAAUAAGAGAUCUACCUCUGAAAAGGAUCCAAUCAACGUGAAGAUCUUGUGUUUGCCGAUCCCAGCAGAGGCAGAGCGCUCUAAAAAUUAACUUGAGGUAUUCAACGGUUCCUUGUUUGUCACCUGACAACACCAGAUAAUAGCACAAUCACGUCAUACUCAUUUGAUAAAACAUAAAAAACAGCAUAAAAGCGUCGAAACAAACAGUACCCUUGAAUCCGUGAUAAGUGCGGAUUAGAGAAACAUUUUUCCUUACACGCGCACUAGGCCAUGCAUCCCUCAUAUCCCCAACUACACCAUGCUCUCUGCACUCAAACAGAGUAAACACACAAGUUAAAAACCACUUUUUUCUAGUAUGUUUCAUAGAAUCCCACUUAAAUGAAUAACAAUGGUAUGUGUACUAAGCAUGGUUGUCGAAUCUAGAUUCGAAUCAUGAAUUAGAAGAUUUUUUUUCUUCUGAAUCGCUAAUCAAAUCUUAUUAUGAAUCAUAAGAUAUAUUGUCCAUAAAAAUGUCAUUUAGAAGUAAAAAACAAGUGAAAUAACACAAUUAUAAACUGAUGGUUCAUAUAUGAAUAUCAAAAUAAAUCAAGAUUUAAGUCAAAUAUCAAAUGACAAAAGAAAAGUGGUUGGUUUUACUAAGUUGUCAAAAUAGUAGUUGGCUAUACUAAGUUUAGGUAGUGUUUAUUAGAAUGAAUCAGGAUUCAUCAUAGUGAAUCAGGAUUUAUCACAAAAUCGUGAUUCAAGAUGAGAUUUACGUUAUUUAAAAAAAUAAAAAAUGAGAUUUAUGUCUAGAUAGAUACACACUAGAGAUUCUUAUCAAUUGGAUUCAGUUCAGUAUUGAAUCGAUAUUCGACUCUCAUGUAUCGUAAGAUACUGGUAAUCAUGACACUGCAGGAAAUAUGAACUUGGACUCCUCCUGACACUAACAUAUAUAAACUGGAAAUAUAUCUAUCAAGAAACUACCUUGAUCUUCCAAGAAGGAAACGUCCAGUAGUUGAUUCUUUUUGUGUAUUGAAUACUCCACAGUACACAACUGGUAGGCUAGGGGGUAAGGAUGCAAUGUGCUGCCAUGUGAGUAACGCACUUCGUCUACGGGCACGAGCACUGAGCUCAUCCAUGUUUGUAUUUACUAUCUGAAAUGAGAAUCCUGGUGGCUCAACUCCUUUUAGUUGAAAUGUGUGGACAUCAUGUCAAAGAACCAAAAGAUUUAAAAGAUUGUGAAACAAAAGUAUAACAAAGUUCGCAAACAAUUCAAGUUAUAUUUUAUUUUCUAAAUCAUAAUAAGGAUAUAGCCCAUGUUGCGAUGCAAGGAACUUCGGAACCCCACGAUAUGCUUCCAGGUACAGACGGAGACUCAGACAACCAAAAUGUUCCACCUUCUAGAAGCUCUACCUUCAUUUUUUUUUUUAAGAAAAAAAACACUCAACAAAUCUGUUCCCAAACCAGUUAAAUAAAAAAUUAUGAGAUAAUGCCAAAAUAACCCCUUAUACCUUUUCCUUGUCAUAGAAGAUAGUGCAAUGCUCAUCAGUUGUAUCUUGUGGCCCUUUUCGUGAUACGCCAAACUGAUCAUAGCCUGAGUAAUUUUUUUAUUAUCAACUUAAAUUAAUCUGUUUUGAAGUAGAGUAUUAUUACGCAGAAAUAAUACUAUAUCUUUCCUUGGACUCCGAACAUAUUUGAUUUCCAUGAAGAAUAAUUGUAUAUAAGUGGUUUGGAAUCCACCCUUGAACAUUAUUAAUUCAUGACCAUUAGCAAAUGUAGCAACUAGCAAUACAAUUUAAGCUAUAACAUUUCAAUACAAGCAUUAAAGAAAGUCACUAGAGACAGAUGGAAUGGUGUGGUCUUGUUUGUUUUUUCGUGUUUUCUUGGUGUGCUUGGAUUUCUUGUGUUGGCUUUUGUGUUGUCGUUUGCUUUAGUUUUCAAUGUGUUGGGUGUGUUUUGAGCAUCUCUUGUGCGGUUGUGCCCCUCCUGCUGGUGUUUUGGCAGGACCCUUUGUACAUUUUGGUUUCCCCUAUUUAUUUAUAUUUGCCUUUCAAAAAAACAAAAAACUAGAGAUAGAUGGAGUUAUUUCCUUAAACGACGAUCAUCAAGCUAUUUCAAUUAUUUUAAUCGUUUUGACAGUUUACAUCAAGAGAAGUAUGGAUGAAGUCUAUCAUUUUUGAAUGAACCACACACCUAUUUUAGCAUAACCAAACCAUCGGUGAUGUAGGCACUAGGCAUCACAUGGAAUGAGAACAUCUACAAAGUAAGCAUGAAUUUAUGUAAAAAUUGGGCCAGUAACACAUUAGGUUUGUUUCCUAUGUUUUCACGGUACUGACUCACGUUCAAUCUUAAAAGCUCACUACUAGCUUCUAUCUCGCCGCCUUCAAAACCCAAUUCCAAACAUGCUCUAGACAAAAGCAGUGUACAACCACAUUUCUCUUCAUAACCAGUACUAUACAAUGUAAUAAUAAUCAUUUUGACAAAGGACAAAAAUAUGAUCCAUUAUGACAAUGAGAAAUGAAAUGAAAAAUAUGGUUGUAAUGUAAACAAACAAUGCAGGCAAAAUCAAAUUUGAGAAUUAUAAAUGAAUCCUAUUAGAAGGUGAAGAGCAAAACAGUUUUAUAAAAACAAUUCUUACCUGGCAAACCUUGCUGGAGAAAAUCCAAUUGUGUCUUCACUCCUGAAUCCAACAAAUUAAAACAAACAAGGGGUUAAAUAAACUGAACCAGAACAUCAACAUAUCGAAUGAGAGACAAACAAAUCAAGAAUUCAAUAGGAUGCAAAAAAAAAAAAAAAAUCAAAUUCAAAAUCAAAUCAAAAGAUCAAUAAAGCAAGCAUUUUUAGCAAUUGAAUAUUGAAAGGUACAUGAAGAAGGGAUCCAGAACUAUACAUUGAAAACGAAAUCAGAAAAAAAGAAACAAUUUUGAACAAACCCAGAUGAAAAUAAAAAGAUGGGGCAUGGAAAGAGUGAGAAGCUACCUACCUUGUUGAGUACAAAGGAUGAUGGGGGAGUAACUGGUAAUAACACUUAUGCAUAUGUCUCUUCUUUUGUCCCAUGAAUUAGGACUAUCUUGUGGUUCAUCAUCAUGAAGAUUCAAGGUCAUAACAGUCAAAGAUACACUCAUUUUUCUUCCUUUCUCUCUAGUUCAUAGGUAAUUGAAUGAAUGAAAUGAAUGUUGAACAGUGUGUUAUGAUGUUAUUAUUAUAUUUUUGUUUUGUUUUGUUUUGUUUGUGAUUAUUCAUUCAUGGAGGCUGGCUCUCUUCGUUCCCUUCCCAUUUGAUGAAAAUGUCUGACAGCAAUGAAAAAAAGGACUUUAUAUUUUUAUAUGUUAUUCUCUUGAUUGGUGUGUGUGUGAAAGAGUAGUUAGUAGUAAAAUGUGAAAUGUAAAGUGAAAGUUUUAACGAAGUCAUAGGUAUAAUAAGUAUAAGAAGUAGUACAAGACAGACAAGAUCCCUUUUUUCUUGCCACCUACCAUUCAAAUAUUCCUUUUACUAGGUACCGGAUUUUGGGCUCUUGUCCCUAAUUUGACUACUUAGUACACUUUAAUUUGACUAUAACUCCUAAUUAGACUUUUUUGUUUUUGUUUUGAGGGAUUUUAUACACUUAAAUUAUAAUAAUAGGCCUUUUUUUUUAGAAAAAUACUAACAUGUUAUGGACACAUAAAUUAAACAAUCAAGUUGCUUAGGCUCUAGUGGCAAAGAGCUCCUUCCAAUGACGUAUUUAGAGAAUACCAGAUUCGAUUCCCAGAGGGAACAACGCUUUACCAGUGUACAUGCCUCACACAUGAUCCUAAUUUGUCGUCCACCUUUGAUGAGUCGGAAAUCAGUGCAAAAACCAACGUAAAAAUAUAAUCUUAAAAAUUAUGUAUUCUAAUAUUAUUAUUUUUGACAGAGUGUAUUUAAUAUCACGAAGGUUUAAAAAUUCAUCUUUUCAAUAUAGAACUUCUAUCUAAUUCCUUUUUAAACUCAUUAACUUGUCAUGUUAGCAUGACCCUCUUUGAAUAAUCGAUGAAACAACUCCUUUAAGAUGGAAACAACCAUUGAUAAUAAAAACUACCUCAUCCUUGUCAAAACCAUUUAUAACACAUUUUCUUCCUACUCCCUUAACCUAACCACUGCUAGAGGUAGUUGAUCGUCCAAUAUUUGGAAGGCUACUUUGAGUAGUUGGGACAAAGUUAAGCCUCACAUCAGAUGGGUUCUUAAUGAUGGUCAGGACACUCCUCGAGAGACUCAACUCCCAAUCUCAAAUCUCUGUCCUAAAUAAUGAUUGGAAUUGGAAUAUGAUCUCCAAUAAAAUUCUUGAAUUCAUUUUCCAAUAAGUAACUAAUCUAAAACCUCGAUGAACAUGCGCCAAGUGGGAAUGAUAUCCAGAAUCGGGAUUUAUCUUCUGUUGGUCAAUUUAAUGAAAAAAUUGCUUAUCAUUUGUAGUGUGAGUUUAGAUAAUACCAAUUCUCAUCCUUUGUUUAUACAGGUCUGGAAUUGGAAGAGUUCAACUUGUUUAUGUGUUGUUCUUUGGAAGAUUGAUCAUGGUUCUCUUCUUACAAAUGUUGUUCGUGCUCAUAGGAACAUGACUAGUGAUGAUGCUCACGUACUCGAGACUACUGGAAUCAGUACGUCAAGGAAGACAACUAUGCUUGGUUGGAGUGGAAUCUUAAUACUAAGAAUGUUAGUUUCAACUUUCAACCCUUAUAAUUGGUCCACGUUCUUCGGAGUGUCCCUUUGGGCAAUUUAGAAGGAUCAAAAUUCUUCGGUUAUUUUUUUUUUUGGGAAACUGAUCUCGACAUUCAGCUCACAUCAAAGGUUAGUAGUGUAGUUCAUCAAAUUGGAAAGGAGUUUGCUUAUCCUCUUGCUUCUCGAUAUGAUAGUCCAUUUAAGCAACACACUCACUAAGAAAAAGGGUAAUGCUAUUUCUGAUAGUGGCAAAAAAAAAAAAAAAAUCUUAAUCAAGAUUCAAAAUAGGCCUUAUUUAUUUUAGUGGUCAUAUUACUCUUUACCUACGAGGAACUUUAACUUUUGAUCCCUUUUGCUUAUACUUGGAUUGGAGUGGGUGCCUUAAAGCAAGAUGAUUUUACAUCAGCCAUCAGUAGUUCAAAAGGAUAGAUUGCAGCACACCUUAGGAAGCACACUGGUCCCUCCAAAAGAAAAAGAAAGCAAGCUGUGCCUUUUUUUUUCCGUAAGAAACUAUGCUACUAAAUAACGACAACGAAAAAUACAAAUGGACCGCUACCUUUGCAAAAGAAGACACUGUGUUUGUUUGUUUUUGACGAGAAGAAGAAAGCACUACUAGAGAGCUACGUAGGAUGAUAGAAGUAUAUUAAGAAAACAAAUAUAUGCUUAACUGAAUUAUUAGCAAACCGUGAAAAUACAAAGUAUUCUUUUUUGUAUUGAAUACAUCGGAAUAUACCUCAGCUUACCACCUUUUCCAUCCACCAUCAAAUUACUUAUUCAUAUAGAGCAAAGCAACCCCAAAUAACCAGAAAAACCAUAACCUGAUUUUUAUCUUAUCUUAUACUUCACUUGAUGCCAAUAAUAGUUGAAGAUUUCAGUUUGCAGUUAAGAAGAAUUUUUCAAAACCCAUUCCACUAGAGUAGAAACGCCAAAUCCUGUUGCUGAGCGCUUCUUGUCAUUCCACACAGGACCAGCCAUGUCAAUAUGCAACCAUUGAACCUUUUCAUCAACAAACUACAAAGCAAAAUUGUUUCAAAAAUCAGACAGUAAACAAAUAGAAGCAAAUAGUUUCCAUAUUUAAGAAACUAGUAUAUUUUCCUCCAAUAAGUUUCUUAAAAUAAAAUAUUACUAUAUGAAAUUUUUACUCUAGAUUAGGACAGUUAGAGUUCCAUUGCCAUUGCCACACAAUGACUUGGAUAAAUAAGGAGCGUGAAAAUCGCAGAAUAUCUUUCAGAUGUUAUUACCACUCCACGGUACCCCAACACAGCUGUCCAAUUACUUUGAGAAGAAAAAUUCAAACAAUAACAUGAUUUGUAUCAUUAUUAAGCACAUACCUGUUUCAGGAAAAGAGCAGCAGUAAUAGAACCACCUGGUCUACCACCAGUGUUUACCAUAUCAGCCACUCCUGAUUUCAUUGAUUCCCAGUAGCUUUCCUCUAUUGGCAGCCGCCAUAGUUUCUCCCCACUCACUUCAGAAGCUUCCAAAACUUCUUUUACUAGUUCAUCAUUGGGUGAAAACACACCUUCAAAAUAAUAGUUUGCAGUUAUAAUCAGACAAUGUUUGAUAGUCUCUCCCGAGUUUAGCUUUACUAUUUCCCCAAAAUGAUAUAUGAAUUUAAGGAGCUUAUAGUUCCAACCAAAAUAUUGAGACUUUUUUUUUCUUAAUUCUUGCAAGAAAUUUUAGAACAUGAUAAUAAAAAAGAGGUCAAACACGUACACAACAUUAAUAAUUUUUAGUUUAUCUUUACCUGCAAUGGAGGGCCCAAGAGCAACUACACAUGCCCCAGUUAAGGUUGCCAAAUCAAUAAUCUGAAAAAAAGAUUAUCUACCAGUUAGCAGUAUUCUAAAACUAAAUCAUACAUCUAAAAAAAUAAGUUUUAAGCUUGUCUAAAUUGAUGCCAGAAAACAAACAACAGAUGAGAAGUUUGUAAAUAUAAAAAAAGGCCAAAGUCAGCACUUGUUUCGUAAAUAUUAAAAUAUCUAUGGACCAGUUUACUUUUGUUUCGGUGUACCAAGAUUUGCAUAACAUGUGCUGACUUUGGCCUUUUUUUAUAUUUAUAAACUGGUCCAUAGAUAUUUUAAAGAAUGAGAAUGAUGUUCAAGACAAAUGCUAGUAACACUCUUUAUGAUUAGUUGGCUUCUAGAUUGAUUACUUUCUAAAAAGAGUGUACUCAAGAGAAUGUAAAAAAUGAGUGUCCUCAUGUCCUACUAGUAAUCCUCUUUCAUCACAUAAUUGAAAAUCUCACCAAAUCUAUCAAAAUAUUAAAUAUUAAGCAAAUGAUUUGGGAAGGCAACCGAAAUCUGUUUAUGAUUUAUAGAGAUAGUACAGAGAUAGAAAGAUGCAAAUAACUUGCAGUAUACCUUUUCAACACCUUGGUUACAAGCAUAUACCAGAGCAUCUGCCAGUGUGAGUCUUCCCUCAGCAUCAGUGUUGUUCACCUAAACAAAAAGUUAAACCAAUGUCAAAUUCCUAGUACAUCAUAUAAAAUGUUGAUACUUGACAAAAUCAAGGUCAAUACUACAUAUGUUUACAUAGUUCAUAGAGGCCAAAACUUCAAUUCACUGAUCUUCAAUUGCAAUGUAAUUGUAUUAUAUAUAUAUAUUGAUUAACCAAGUACAACUACAAUAGAUUUGCAUUUUCAGUACUGAUACACACAAAAUGACAAUCAAGAGUUACAUCCCAAGCAUCAUAAAUGAUUAUUGAGAAACUUUUUUAAAAUGGAAAUAACUGAUGCAUUUCAUUUUCAUUCAAUUAUCCAAAUAAAAUAUUUGAAUAAGAACAAAUUACAUGCUGUCCACUGGACCUAAUGACAUAUAUACAUAUUCAACAAAUCAGAAAGAUGGCAAAAACAAAAAUAUCAUCAAAUACUAUGCAUCAAUACCAAGUACAAUAGGUUAAAUUUAUUGGACAAUUAAAAAUCAAAGACCUAGUAAACCCUCACCUCAAUAGUUUUUCCAUUUGAAGCUGUGACAACAUCUCCAGGCCUCAUACCUGUUCCACUGAUCAUAUUCUCACAAGCUGCAACUAUAAAAUGAACCUGCAUAUACAAGAUUUUUAUUACACGACAAAACACGACAAUAACCACUAUGUAUUCCAAACAAAUCAUUCCACGGAAAAGCAGCCCCCAGAAAUGUAAAAUGAAAAUCCAUACUCAACAACUCUUAUUAUGAAAAAAAAAAUCAAAUGAGAUUAGGAAAUUUCUGUGACUUUUUAUUUAUAUAAACCCGUCAUUUCGGAGAUCCCAUACUACAUCACCCAAUAAUCCCUAAGCAAAUCUUGACAUGAAAUUGAAAAAAUGAAGGACCAAUGAUUUAAGUGACUAACCUCCACCCCAAGAGGUUUGAUUUGACCAAGUGCUUUUGCAGCGCCUAAAACUGCGGCUGAACCACCCAUAUCAAAUUUCAUGAGUUCAAUUGAACAGCCAGGUCCAGUCUUAAUGUUGUAGCCACCACUGAUAAAAAGCAGAAAACGUAAUAAAAAAGCAGUAAGGAAAAAAAACUAAAACUUCCUACAUCAAACAAAAAAAUAAAUAUGAAAUGGGAGAGAAACCCAUGGACUCCUUAAUUUUGAGAUGAAACAACAUAUAUUUUACACCAAUACUAAGUAUGCCAUUGUAGCAAAUUGGUAAUGCAUGAAAAAAGAAUACAUAAUCAUGCCUAUGUUAGCCUUGUCAUGCAUAGCCGGUCCCAAGGCUGGGUAAAAAGAGAGGGUUGUGUUAGGCCUCGACAGCCAACGUAACACUUUGUCGAAUCCUAUGACACGGACCAAUAAUUUGAUCCAUGUAGCCGGACCCAUUUAGUGGGAUAAGACUUGGUUGUUGUUGUAUUUAGAAAGAAUAUAUUGAAAAAAUCUACUUAGGACCUCAUAUUAAAGAUUUAUCAACAAAGCAAAAACAUCAAACUUCAUAACCGCUGAAUGCUUUGGUACCAUAAUCAAAACCAUGGAUAAUACAGGGUGAAAUCCCAUUUCAAAUUUUUCAAUGUCUUAUGAAUUGUAGAUAGAAAACACGGUUUGGUGAAUUACCUAUCAAAAGUCAAACCUUUUCCAACCAAAGCCAGCUUGACCUUGACAGAUCCACUUGGAGGUUUGUAAGUAAGAUGGAUAAAACGAGGAGGAUUUGCCGAGGCUGCAGCAACACCUAGAUAGGACCCCAUUUUCAAUUCCUUGCACUGAUCAGCAUCUAAUAUUUUAGCGGUGAAAACAUCACUGUAGGUGGAAGCAACCUUAGAUGCCUCUUCUGCCAACACCCCUGAGACCAAAACAUCACCAAGUACAGAUCAGAUUUUAGAGAAGCACACAUACAUGCAUAUAUACAUACAUACAUAGAUAUAGCUAUAGCUAUAUAAUACGAUAUAAAGUGUCGUACGAACCUGGUGUGAGAACAUUGGCAGGAGAGUUUACAAGCUCCCUUCCAAAAAUUAUUCCAGAAGAAACAUCUCCAGCAUACUUGAGCUUUUUUUCCAAAUCAGGCCCCGUUCCAAGACCAAUAAUGUCAAUGGAUCUAACUGCUGGUUUCUUUGAUUCUGACUUGUAUCUUUGAUCUUCAAAUAAUCCCAGCACAGCCCCUACCACAAUUCAAGCCAACACAUCAAAUGCAGCUAUAAAAAUCACAAGCUCACAUUCACACACGCGCGCGCACAUAUACACACAACACGAGUAAGGAUCCUCGCCAUUUCUAAAGUUUGUGAUGACAAAAGUCAAUGUUUCUAAAAAUGGUGACAUGUAUUUUUAUUUUUUGUAUAAUUAAACUUUAUACACUCAAAACAUUAGUAAAUAGUAAUGGAGAGAUCCCUAUUUUAACACAUCAAUUACUUAAAAAUCAUAAAAUCAAUACAUCAAACAGAUAUAAAUCAUAAAAUCAAAUACCAGAUGCAAUUGCAUAAGCAGUACUAAGCUUUGAUUCCGAAGAAAGUCCUUCAGAAGAGGCAAGAACAAUAGCAACAUUGCUUGCCUGAGCAGACUUAGCAACCGCGACAACAGCCUCACCAAGACCCUUAUACAGUGCAGUAGUUGAAGGUAACUGACCAAGACCGAUCAAACCAACCCUCUUUGAUCCAAGUCCUUUAAUCCUAACAACCGUUGAUUGACCAACUUUACCAGAGAAAUCCUCUUCAGAAGAAGCUUCAGAUAACAAACCAUCCAACUUCAAAUCAAUCUUGUUCAAAAUCGAAUUCUCGAAUCUCGAUUUAGCAUCUCUUGUUAAAUCUUUCUCAGUAACACCCACUGCUAGUAUAUCUCCUUUCCAUUCAGUCACAUCAACAUCCGUAGCAGAAAAAGAGAUCUUUCAGGAAUUUUCACAAACACAUAAAAGGCACUAUCAGUAAACACAUAAAAUAAAAAACCCACAACGAUAAAAUUAACAAAUUAACGACUUUAUACAUCAUUAAAGUGGAUAAAUCAAAAAUAGAAACAAGGGCAUCAAAAUUGAAGAAGAAAACUAACCUUAGGGGCUUCGAUGUUGGUGGGGUGAGUGAGGCCGAGAGUGGUGUAACGUGACUGAGACAUAAGCUUCGUCGUUGAAUGAAAGCUUCGUUUAGGAAAUGAAGCAAAACGAAUACGCGAAGUGAGAAAGAGAGAAGAAGACGAAGAUUUUGAGAAAGCAAUAACAAUGGCAGAAGCUAUGGCCGCCAUUUGGGUGUGGGAGAGUCUAUCUUAUUUAUAAUGAACCAUCACAUCUUAUUCAUCCAAAAAUAGCUAUUAAAAUUAAAAUCAGAGAUUAAUUUCUCAUUAUUAUCCCUUUCUCAAGUCAAGUGUAAACAGCACUACCUGUCCGUUUUUCUCGAUUGAUAAUGAAAGUUACAUGUGAAAAAUGAUCUCAUCAUAUGUAGAUUGAACUGAUUGUAACUAAUUAAAAGUAGUUUCAAUUGAUAGUUUGAUACAAGGCUCAGGCUAGCAUGGGAGACCAAAUCAGGUCUCUCACGGUGGGAGGGGAGAAAAAACCUGCAAUUGCAAGUCACCAUUAGUUUUAAUAGUUUUAUAUUAUUUUUGUUAUUUAUACUUUUGACCCACCUAAGUUAAUUAUAAAUAUUUCACUCGAGUUUUUUUAUUUACGAAAUUGGCAUGUCCCCCUUUUUUUUAUUAUUAUUUAAAAAACCAAAUAAGUUACUACCUUUAAUUAUUAUUUUCUUUCUUCUUUAUUCUCUCCUUGUUCUGAUUUCCCUGCAUCUCUUUCGAGCACCAUCAUCAAAACAAUAGUGCUCAUGGCACUGGUAAAAACUAUUUUUUAUGAUAUUCAUCCUUGUUACUACAUGACCAGCAUCACCAUCCACAAGUUACUACCACCACCAUCA
rnacentral:lncRNA from 1 species